AAGAGAGGGGUAAGGGCGUUCCUUAGAUAGGGGGGACCGACUUGUUUCCCAGUAGUCGAGGUAGUUCUGUGCAGUGAAGGGGAGCAUCUCAUCAACGAAUAUCCUAGGGCAUUAAGAGAGAGGUCGUAAACGAAAAACAACUACAAAAAGAAAAAUGUUGCUCCACAACCACCUUGAUAUGAUCGGGAGGAACGAGCCGAUCCAGAGGAAAGCCAAAUUCUGGCAGUCUUAUGUCAGAGCUCUUAAAGGCACUGAUGACAUAAGGGCACCAGAGGCGUCCCACUACUCUCGCUACCCAUCAUCCAGGGGUCUUUUCCGUCCCCUUCUCGACUCUUUCCCAACUUGGCCCCACGUCAAGUCUAUGUACGACGACCCGAUCGCCCCGUCCGACAGGAUCUCCGUCCCUGGCUACCGUUACCUCCCUAUAUCCAGGGAAACAUACGGCCUUUCCCCGAGGAACAUCUACCCACAUCACUACUCGAGCCUGGACCGUUAUCCGCGCACCGAAUACUACUAUCCUUUUACUGACUGGGAUCGUCUUGACCGCCAACCUGAACAUAAGUACCUGAACCCGGCCUACAGGAAGCCAUUUGUUAAGGAGUACACUAUUGGACCCGAUGGAGCCAAAGUUCCACUUUACACGUAUACAGGCACUCCGAUCUACAGCCGUGGAGGAAUCACCAGGAGGCCAUUGACUGACCUCUUCUCUCCCAGGAGCUAUGUCCCUUUGUCGAGGUACACCAGAGACCCUUGGUGGUGGUCAUACCCAUCACUUAAGCCGUUUGAAUCACUUUAUUCAAGACACUCUCCUUUCUAUCUGAGGGACAGCUACUUGUCCCCUGUCAAGAAUACUUACCUUUGGCGGGAUCAUCCUUUCCGUGCCUUCUGGUGAUUGGAAUCACAAAGGUUUUCAAACAAUGCAGAGAAAUAAUGCUAUAAUUAUUGCUAAUCCCAGCUACAAAAAACUACACCCAGGUUGUACUACUAAACUGGAUGAUCAAUAGGGGGAAGCAGUGAAAAUUCAUCAAAAAUGAAAUCUCUAAAUCAAAAUAACUAUUUUUGUAAAAAAUCCAAAAAUUAAACAAGA
rnacentral:misc_RNA from 1 species